CUCGGGGAUUCCCCUAGUAACGGCGAGUGACCGGGAAGAGCUCAAAUUUGAAAUCUGGCGUCCUCAGGGCGUCCGAGUUGUAAUCUAUAGAGGCGUUUUCCGUGCCGGACCGUGUCCAAGUUCCUUGGAACAGGAUAUCAAAGAGGGUGACAAUCCCGUACUUGACACGACGACCGGUGCUCUGUGAUACGUCUUCUACGAGUCGAGUUGUUUGGGAAUGCAGCUCAAAAUGGGUGGUGAGUUCCAUCUAAAGCUAAAUAUUGGCGAGAGACCGAUAGCGAACAAGUACCGUGAGGGAAAGAUGAAAAGCACUUUGGAAAGAGAGUUAAACAGUACGUGAAAUUGUUGAAAGGGAAACGAUUGAAGUCAGUCGUGACCGAGAGGCUCAGCCGGUUCUGCCGGUGUAUUCCCCUCGGUCGGGUCAACAUCAGUUUUGUCUGGUGGAUAAGGGCGGUAGGAAGGUGGCACCCUCGGGUGUGUUAUAGCCUGCCGUCGCAUACAUCGGGUGAGACUGAGGAACGCAGCUCGCCUUUAUGGCCGGGGUUCGCCCACGUCCGAGCUUAGGAUGUUGACAUAAUGGCUUUAAACGACCCGYCUUGAAACAMGGGAMAAAAAA
rnacentral:rRNA from 1 species